rnacentral:rRNA from 1 species
AGAGUUUGAUCCUGGCUCAGAUUGAACGCUGGCGGCGUGCCUAACACAUGCAAGUCGAGCGGUAACAGGUGUAGCAAUACAUGCUGACGAGCGGCGAACGGGUGAGUAAUGCUUUGGAAUCUUCCCAGUAGUGGGGAAUAACCAGUCGAAAGAUUGGCUAAUACCGCAUACGUCUGUAAAGGGAAAGCGGGGGCUCGUAAGACCUCGCGCUAUUGGAUGAGCCAAAGUCGGAUUAGCUAGUUGGUGGGGUAAUGGCCUACCAAGGCGACAAUCCGUAGCUGGUCUGAGAGGACGACCAGCCACACCGGAACUGAGACACGGUCCGGACUCCUACGGGAGGCAGCAGUGGGGAAUAUUGGACAAUGGGGGAAACCCUGAUCCAGCGACGCCGCGUGUGUGAAGAAGGCCUGCGGGUUGUAAAGCACUUUUAGUGGGGACAAAAAGCUACGGACUAAUACUCUGUGGUCUUGAUUUAACCCAAAGAAAAAGCACCGGCUAACUCUGUGCCAGCAGCCGCGGUAAUACAGAGGGUGCGAGCGUUAAUCGGAAUUACUGGGCGUAAAGCGCGCGUAGACGGUUUUGUAAGUCAGAUGUGAAAUCCCUGGGCUCAACCUGGGAACUGCAUUUGAGACUGCAUGGCUAGAGUAUCGAAGAGGGAAGUGGAAUUUCCGGUGUAGCGGUGAAAUGCGUAGAUAUCGGAAGGAACACCAGUGGCGAAAGCGACUUCCUGGUCGAAUACUGACGUUCAUGUGCGAAAGCGUGGGGAGCAAACAGGAUUAGAUACCCCCGUAGUCC